UUGUUCCUACGGGACGCAGCAGUAGGGAAUAUUGCUCAAUGGGGGAAACCCUGAAGCAGCAACGCCGCGUGAAGGAAGAAGGCUUUCGGGUUGUAAACUUCUUUUCUCAGGGACGAAGCAAGUGACGGUACCUGAGGAAUAAGCCACGGCUAACUACGUGCCAGCAGCCGCGGUAAUACGUAGGUGGCAAGCGUUAUCCGGAUUUACUGGGUGUAAAGGGCGUGUAGGCGGGAAAGCAAGUCAGAUGUGAAAACCAUGGGCUCAACCUGUGGCCUGCAUUUGAAACUGUUUUUCUUGAGUACUGG
rnacentral:rRNA from 1 species